CACGUAGGGGGCGAGCGUUGUCCGGAUUUAUUGGGCGUAAAGAGCUCGUAGGCGGCUCGGUAAGUCAACUGUGAAAGCUCCGGGCUCAACUCGGAGAGGCCAGUUGAUACUGCCGUGGCUAGAGUCCGGUAGGGGAGCGUGGAAUUCCUGGUGUAGCGGUGAAAUGCGCUGAUAUCAGGAGGAACACCAGCGGCGAAGGCGGCGCUCUGGGCCGGAACUGACGCUGAGGAGCGAAAGCGUGGGUAGCAAACAGG
rnacentral:rRNA from 1 species